rnacentral:rRNA from 1 species
UAGCGUAUAUUAAAGUUGUUGCAGUUAGAACGCUCGUAGUCGGAUUUCGGGGCGGGCCGACCGGUCUGCCGAUGGGUACGCACUGGUCGGCGCGUCCUUCCUUCCGGAGACUGUUCCUACUCUUAACUGAGCGGGAAUUGUAUACGGAUCGUUUACUUUGAAAAAAUCAGAGUGUUUCAAGCAGGCAGCUCGCUCUUGCAUGGAUUAGCAUGGGAUAAUGAAAUAGGACUUUGGUGCUAUUUUGUUGGUUUCGAACACCGAAGUAAUGAUUAAAAGGGACAGUCAGGGGCACUCGUAUUCCGCCGAGAGAGGUGAAAUUCUUAGACCAGCGGAAGACGAACCACUGCGAAAGCAUUUG